UUGAACGCUGGCGGAAUGCUUUACACAUGCAAGUCGAACGGCAGCACGGGGGCAACCCUGGUGGCGAGUGGCGAACGGGUGAGUAAUACAUCGGAACGUGCCCGGUCGUGGGGGAUAACGUAGCGAAAGUUACGCUAAUACCGCAUACGAUCUGAGGAUGAAAGCGGGGGACCUUCGGGCCUCGCGCGAUCGGAGCGGCCGAUGUCCGAUUAGGUAGUUGGUGGGGUAAAGGCCUACCAAGCCGACGAUCUGUAGCUGGUCUGAGAGGACGACCAGCCACACUGGGACUGAGACACGGCCCAGACUCCUACGGGAGGCAGCAGUGGGGAAUUUUGGACAAUGGGCGCAAGCCUGAUCCAGCCAUUCCGCGUGCAGGACGAAGGCCUUCGGGUUGUAAACUGCUUUUGUAUGGAACGAAAAGGCUCUGGCUAAUACCUGGGGCUCAUGACGGUACCGUAAGAAUAAGCACCGGCUAACUACGUG
rnacentral:rRNA from 1 species